ACUUAAAGGAUUUGGCGGUAUUUAAGCCUGGUUAGAGGAACCUGCUCUAUAAACGAUAUGCCACGAAUAAUCUUACUUUAUCUUGUCUUCAGUUUGUAUACCUCCAUUAUAAGUUAUAUCCCUAGAAAUUCUCUAUAAUAAAAGUUUUUUAGUAUAUUAGGUCAAGGUGCAGCUAAUGAUAAAGUAGCUGUGGGUUACAAUAUGUCAUAUAUAAAUGGAUGAAUUUGUGAAACAAUAGUCUGAAAUUGGAUUUAAUUGUAUUUUUAAAAUAAUAAGUUAAAAUGAUAAUAGCUCUAAAAUAUGC
rnacentral:rRNA from 1 species